rnacentral:lncRNA from 1 species
CAAAAAGUGGUAGAAUUGAAAGCAAGCCAUGGAACACUCACCCAGGGAGCCGGCUGAUGAUCCUUUCAGAGAAGCAGCAGAUACGGCUAAAACACAUAAACAGAAGGAGCUGGACACCUGCAUGUAGCCCAUGAGAAGGGGACUCCUGAGUAAGUGAAAAUGAAGCUAAAGAUGCCACGCUGAGGGAAGGCACAGGUGGUGACUGGAGUUAGUCCUGGAGAGAGCCUCGCUGCACUGCAGAUGAUGGAGAGUGAGGACCUUUGCCUCAUGUUGCUUGCUGCAUCCGUGUGCUGCUGCUGCAUCUGGGAGCUCUGCGAGUUGUUUGUUCUGAAUUUUGAAGAUGUCUGGAGUGGAGAGUUUGCCUCAAGUCUCAGGGGAAACAUGGGAUUUGAUUGUCUGACCUGUCCUGGAAGCAGUGAGACUUUGGGGCCCCUUGGGGAGGCUGUAGAUGUGUUUUGUACUCUGGGAUGCACAGGAGCCUGCGGUUUGGAUCUCAACCAUGCUCCAGAAGGUCACAGGUCUAAGGCUUGGUCCGGGGCCUUUGGGAGGUGACUGGAUCAUGAGCACUCUCACCUCAUGACUGGA